rnacentral:tRNA from 1 species
CACCGGUGGGACAGGCGGUUCGGGCGGCGCCGGCGGUGCCGCCGGAGCGAGUCGCAGCAUGUUCGGUCACGCGGGCGCCGAUGGC